AGCGCUAUAAUAAAACAGUUAUUAUUAUAAAUAAUGUGAUAGUAUUAUAGAUGUAUAUACCUAUGUUUGAUUUAAGUCAUUUGCAAUUGGCUGCGCUUGUAAGGAUCGUAGUGAUUUGUUUAUUUCGAACGCAAGAUAUUUGAGGUUAGAUAGUUCAUAAGUUUAGUCUGUCUAGUUGUCCCAGUCGCCGUGACAGCACAAUGCCGGCUCCGUGGUAUAAAUCAUAGCAGGUGAUCGUGUACGGGUCGCUAUGAGCAGUGUUAAGUGGUGUCAGCUUUCUUCGGAAUUUGACCGUGGAGAUUUAUCGUGGUUGAACAAUGAGUCGUGACAGGACACACCCCUUGAUGCGGCCUCAACGAACUGCGGCCAAUUUACGACCUAACUGUUCUGUUUGCAAUACGUAUCUUAUAACAUCUCCGUUGCUAACAAUAUUUUAUGUUUGUCGACCAAAGAGUUAUGUUCAUAACAUUGUAACUUAAAAAUUGUAUUUCAUGGUGUCUCUAUAUGGUUGAAUUAAACCCACUGGUAGGCCUACUACGAAGAAAAGUUUCUCUGUCUCAUUCAAAGUAAGGAUUGAAGUGUUAUAUUGCUUGACAUACUUUAUGGAUAAAUAAAUAUUUAUACUUUUCAUCGACUACAACAAUAAUGUAACCAAGUGGUGUAGGCAGAAACAGACUUUCAUUUAGCGCGCUCCUGAUAACUCUUCUGCUUUAUAAUCAUUCAUCCACUAUUCCACUGGUAUAUGUUUUUUUUACAGCGACCUAUAAAUAGAAGAGAAUUUAUUCCAAAGCUUU